rnacentral:tRNA from 2 species
GCCUGGGUGGUGGAACCGGUAGACACAAAGGACUUAAAAUCCUUUGCUCCUUGCGGGCGUGCGGGUUCGAGUCCCGCCCCAGGCACCA